UUCGCAAUGCCCGAAAGGGUGACGAAGCGACGCCGCGUGCGGGAAGAAGGCCUUCGGGUUGUAAACCGCUGUCGGGAGUUAGGAAGUGCAAGGAUGUUAAUAGCGUUCUUGCUUGACUAAGGCUCCGGAGGAAGCCACGGCUAACUCUGUGCCAGCAGCCGCGGUAAUACAGAGGCGGCAAGCGUUGUUCGGAAUUAUUGGGCGUAAAGAGCACGUAGGCGGCUGUGUAAGUCGGUUGUGAAAGCCUUCCGCUUAGCGGAAGAGCAGCAGUUGAAACUACAGGGCUUGAGUGCGGGAGGGGAGAGUGGAACUUCUGGUGGAGCGGUGAAAUGCGUAGAUAUCAGAAGGAACGCCGGCGGCGAAAGCGGCUCUCUGGUCCGUAACUGACGCUGAGUGUGCGAAAGCUAGGGGAGCAAACGGGAUUAGAUACCCCGGUAGUCCUAGCCGUAAACGAUGGGCACUAAGUAGAGGGGUUUU
rnacentral:rRNA from 1 species